CUGGACUGAGACUGACUGAUUCUGGCUGGUACUGCUGCUUUGCUGGACAGGCAGUGAGUCCUGUUCAUCUCACUGUAACUGAGGCAGAACCAGGCAAAGAGAAAGACAUAGAUAAUGAACUCCUGACUGUGUGGCUUCCAGUUUCAGCUGCGCUUCUGCUGUUAUUGGUUCUGAUCGUUUUUUUCAUCUGGAGAUUGAGACGGAGACCCAAGCAAGACCAACACCAAAUCAGAGAGAGAAACAGCAGCACAACCAUUGACAGAG